CUACGGGUCGCUGCAGUGGGGAAUAUUGCACAAUGGGCGCAAGCCUGAUGCAGCCAUGCCGCGUGUAUGAAGAAGGCCUUCGGGUUGUAAAGUACUUUCAGCGGGGAGGAAGGGAGUAAAGUUAAUACCUCUGCUCAUUGACGUUACCCGCAGAAGAAGCACCGGCCAACUCCGUGCCAGCAGCCGCGGUAAUACGGAGGGUGCAAGCGUUAAUCGGAAUUACUGGGCGUAAAGCGCACGCAGGCGGUUUGUUAAGUCAGAUGUGAAAUCCCCGGGCUCAACCUGGGAACUGCAUCUGAUACUGGCAAGCUUGAGUCUCGUAGAGGGGGGUAGAAUUCCAGGUGUAGCGGUGACAUGCGUAGAGAUCUGGAGGAAUACCGGUGGCGAAGGCGGCCCCCUGGACGAAGACUGACGCUCAGGUGCGAAAGUGUGGGGAGCAAACAGGAUUAGAUACCCCUGUAGUC
rnacentral:rRNA from 1 species